rnacentral:rRNA from 1 species
UCCUACGGAGCAGCAGUGGGGAAUUUUGGACAAUGGGGCAACCCUGAUCCAGCAAUGCCGCGGAGCAAGAAGGCGUUCGGGUGUAAAGCUCUUAAGCCGGGAAGAAAGAACGCUCUUCACAUAGAAGAUGCAUGACGUACUGCU